GACGUAGGGCGCGAGCGUUGUCCGGAAUUAUUGGGCGUAAAGAGCGUGUAGGCGGCCCGAUUAGUCCGCUGUGAAAGUCCAGGGCUCAACCCUGGAAUGCCGGUGGAUACUGUCGGGCUAGAGUCCGGAAGGGGCGAGUGGAAUUCCUGGUGUAGCGGUGAAAUGCGCAGAUAUCAGGAGGAACACCAAUGGCGAAGGCAGCUCGCUGGGACGUGACUGACGCUGAGACGCGAAAGCGUGGGGAGCAAACAGG
rnacentral:rRNA from 1 species